UACAGAGGGUGCAAGCGUUAAUCGGAAUUACUGGGCGUAAAGCGUGCGUAGACGGUUGCGUAAGUCAGAUGUGAAAGCCCCGGGCUCAACCUGGGAAUUGCAUUUGAGACUGCGUAGCUAGGGUGCGGAAGAGGGAAGCGGAAUUUCCGUGUAGCGGUGAAAUGCGUAGAUAUCGGAAGGAACACCAGUGGCGAAAAGCGGCUUCCUGGUCCAGCACCGACGUUCAGGCACGAAAGCGUGGGGAGCAAACAGG
rnacentral:rRNA from 1 species